rnacentral:rRNA from 1 species
GCAAUAGUGGAGUACACCUUCUUCAAGCUUAAUGAGUACUUUCAGAGGCAUUCUGAAGAGACUGCAAAAUGGAUAGGUGAAAAAAGGGAUUAUCCGGAAAAGGUUGAUGAAUGGUUGCAGUUACAAGCAAGCAAGUCUUCACGACAACAAGUUAUCGUAUUCGAUAGACUUGAAAUGAUCUAUCAAAUUGAUGAGCCAGGUGGCACAACACGAGAUGGUAGACAAUAUGGUGGUGCUGCAUUUGAGGUGAAACUGAAGACUCGGUGGUGCCAGUGCGAGAGGCCUAGUAAGUAUCAUUGGCCAUGCUCGCAUUUGAUAACGGCGGCGAAGGCGAGAAACAUACAUGUUAAUGAUGGAAAAACCGUGAGGAUGCAAGAGUUCCAUGUGGAAGCUACUAGGUUGACAUGGGCGCCAAGAUUUCACCCUUUCUUGGACCAAUCACAGUGGCCUGAGUACCAUGGCCCUCAUAUUAGGCCAGACCCUCUUCUGAAGGUGGAGACGAAGGGU